AUCGCUUCUCGGCCUAAUGGCUAAGAUCAAGUGUAGUAUCUGUUCUUAUCAGUUUAAUAUCUGGUACGCCGGCACAGUCCGGCUCAUAUAUUAAUCUGAUUUUUGGCAUUAGGUCACGGGAUCAUAGGUUUACCUUGCCCUGACCACGGGUUGCCUCGGCUUUGCACUACUGCUGAGCGCGGCCCAGAAUGA
rnacentral:snRNA from 1 species